GAAGAUUAGUUUCACUGUGCUCUCUGAUAUUUUGUGGUGAGGUUUCUGUAAAUAGCGAAAUACAGUUUUUGGGUGAGGUCAACGAUAGUCGUGACUGAGUUUUGAAGCAACCAGGAAUAUCUGGAGGAGAAUCAUCUGCUGCUGUGAAGAUGAUGUUUGUUAAAGAAGAGAGUGAGGAGAACAUGAGAGAACCAGAAACAUGGAGAAUAAAACACGAGCAGUCUGAACCCAGGAGAAUAAAACAGGAGGAACAUGAAGAAAGGGAUCAAAGAACAAAUCCUGAUUGCUGGAGCUCUCAAUUAGGGCUGCACAACUAACCAAACUCAAUUAAUCGUGAAUGUCAUGCACAUUUUGCCAGUAAAGCUCGUUCUGUGAUCAGCAGUAAAUAUCCAUCCAUUGUUUUCAUCUGUACACAAAUUGAAUUUUCAUAGUUUUAAUGAUUUAAUUUUAGGCCUAAAAGAAGAAAGUCUGAGUGAUGUGGAGGAGAAGGAUCAUGAUGCCAAUGGAGAAAAAUCAGCGAUUUGCAGAAAUUUCCAAAAGCCUUUUAGCUGCUCUCAGUGUGGAAAAGCUUUCACGUGUAACAAAAACCUUAAAGAUCACAUGUUAAUUCACGCUGGGAUAAAGCCUUUCAGCUGCUCUCAGUGUGGAAAGAGUUUCACGCAGAAAGUACAUCUUGAGAAUCAUUUAGUAACUCACUCUUCAGAAAAACCUUUCAGCUGCUCUCAGUGCGGAAACACUUUCACUCGUAAAGAAAGCCUUCGGAAGCACAUGUUAAUUCACGCUGGGAAAAAGCCUUUCGGCUGCCCUGAUUGUGGAAAGAGUUUCACGCAGAAAGGCAAUCUUGAGAAUCAUUUGGUAACUCACUCUUCAGAAAAGCCCUUCAGCUGCUCUCAGUGCAGGAAGAGUUUCAUGAGCAAAGGAUACCUCAAGACUCACAUGUUUCUGCACUCUGAAAUAAAGCCCUUCUCUUGCGAUCAGUGUGGAAAGAGUUUCAUAUGUAAAGGAAACCUGAAGAAUCAUAUGUUAAUUCACGCUGGGAAAAGGCCUUUCACCUGCUCUAGGUUGGGAAAGACUUUUAUACACAAAGGAAAACUUAAGAAACAUUUGGUAACUCACUCUUCGUGAAAAAGACUUUCACUAGCGCUCAGUUUGGACACCUUGAGACUCUCAGGUUAAAGGUUACAUUGGAUGCCAGUUUUCUACAAGUUGAUGUGAUUCUUUAGGGUCUUAAUAAAAAGUCUAGAGCACA